AAAUAAAAAAUAAAAAAUAAAAACUUAAGAGUAAGCUUCAAAGUGUAAUAUAAUUUUUAUUAUAUUUUAUGCUCUGUUCAGUAAUAAUAUUAUAUUAUUUAAUGUAAUGUACAUAUAAAAAUACAUGUAAUUAUGAUUAUUUAUUUUGAUUAUUUCAUUUAUUAUCACCAUCAUUACUGCUACUAUAAUCGCCAUCCAAUCACAACCAUUAUCACUAUUACUACCCACUACUUGGCCACCCCCACCACUUAGCCAGUGCCACAACUACAACCCCACCCAGCCACCACCACUACUGAACAACCACUACCACCACCACCGCCAUCAACACUAUCACCCAAUUGCAGCUACUACCACUAACACUACCAACACUAUCUUUACUCGACCACCACUACCACUACCCUAUCACCACCACUACCUGGCCGCUACCGCUAUUGCUACCACUAUCACCACCACCACCUGGCCGCUACCGCUAUUGCUACCACUAUCACCACCACCACCUGGCCGCUACCGCUAUUGCUACCACUAUCACCACCACC
rnacentral:misc_RNA from 1 species